GUUGUGAGAUAGAUGAAAGCAAGUACGCAGAAGCCGUCAUCACAGUCAAGGACACAUUUGGUGACAGAACAAUCAGCACUGAAGUGUCCAGUGAGUUCACUCUCCUCUUCCCCAUUAUGUACCCCUGGGGAUCUCUGGCAUAGCACUGAUCUCCAAACAUGCUGGGCUUGAACGGAUGAAGAUCUCACUGUUCAGCCAAGAAGUCAUUUAUAAUUCCUCUCGGGGUCUGGUCACUGUGGGGCAGAAUGGGGGGGAAAAUCCAUCUAAAGGCAAAACUUUCUUUUGUGCUGGCACCAGAAAGGAACAACCUUGGAAACGAGCAGCCUCACAACUAUGGUUUAUGUGAAAAUUAGCAGCUUAAUAGCUGCCAAAAAGGGAAGAAUGGGCUUGGACUCUCCAAAAAACCCUAUACUCAGAGAAGAGCUUUAUUUGAGUUGUAUGGAUGCUCCCUGGAAGAGAGCCAUUCUCAAGGCUUGCCUUUGUUUAACCCAACUCAGAGCUCAGACAUGUAGGACACCAUCAAGUUACCAACAUAUAAAUAAUGGGAGUCCCAGAAGGAAAGGAGUUAGAGAAAAGGACAGAGAGAAAAUCUGAAGGAAUAAUGGCUAAAAACUUAACAAUUUUGAUUGAAAACACUAAUCUAUACAUAUAAAAGCUUGACAAACUCCAAGGAAGACAAACUCAAAGAGAUUCACUCCAAGACACAUUAUAGUCAAAAUAACAAAAGCCAAAGGCAGAGAAUUUUGAAAGCAGCAAGAGAGAAGUAACUCAUCAUUUACAAAGGAUCCUCCAAUAAAAAAAAGAAUAAAUAAAUAAAAAUACAAAGGAUCCUCCACGAGGUUAACAGCUGACUUCUCAUGAGAACCCAUGGAGGCCAGGAGGAAGUGGGAUUACAUGUUCAAAGUUCUGAUAGAAAGACUGUCAACCAAGAAGUUUAUAUCCAGCAAAAGUAUCCUUAAAAAAAAAAUGAAGGUGAAUUUAAGACAUUCCUAAUUAAGUCUUGUUUUGACUUUUUCGGACACUUUAGAAUAUGAUUUCUUUCAAUGUUGACUCCACUGUAGUACUCUAUACACUGCCAUCUGCAGGGAGGAUAGAUGAAGGACACACAGGUGGAGGAAGAAAGAAAGUCCCUUGUUUUAGACAGUUAAAGACUAACCUGGAAGAAUAUGAUGUCAUCACAUCUAUCAGAAUCAAGAGAAGACAUUGAUCAUAAGGGCCUAUUGGCAUUGUGGAACCAUGAUCUCUAAAGCCCUUGGAGGAGAUGGCCUGACCAUCCCCAGAGGAUCAUCUGACAUGUGGCAUGGAGCCCACAGAAAGCAGAAGUACUACAGAUGGUGGGGGAGCAUGGGUGUCUCCACUGUCCUUGGGUGCUGUAGACUGAAGGGAGCACCAUGGAUGAACACCUGAUACAUGAGCCCAAAGAUUGAUAGUGAACCUUUGGUAGCCCAAAGUCCUGAAUUCGUCCUGUGUCUGACAUGAGUGAGUGUCACCAAAAGAUAUGUGACAAUACCA